rnacentral:tRNA from 1 species
GCGAGGGUGGCGGAAUAGGCAGACGCGCUAGCUUGAGGUGCUAGUGGGCAUUAGCUCGUGUGGGUUCAAGUCCCAUCUCUCGCACCA